GCGGGCGUUAGAAGUUGCUGGCAGUCAGAGGCAGGGGAGCUGUCACUCGCGGCGAGCCGGGCGGCGGCCAGGGCGCAAAGUUGAGAGCAGUCUCUAGUCUGAGCCUUUCAGUCGCCUUCCAGUAUCAUCAGUACCACGGGCUCCACCUUGCUGCGGCCCCUCAGCAACCCAGUGCACCUGCCACUCGACCAGAGGGAAAGCAGUCAGGAGUGGGAGGCCUCUGAACAAGCUGUAUUUUGUGUAGCCGCCAGCUUCCAUCUUUCUCCAGGCAGAACGCUGGCCCUCAGCACAUCUUUCUGCUUCCCCUCGGUCAGACCACCGAGAACUGCCGCUGUCCUGUCUGACUCCUCCUGUUUUGGUACUAGACCCCAGAUGAGGAUCUCAGGAAGAUCCACAAAGCUGCGUCCAGGGGAACGAACGUGUGGAAGCUGCAGCGGAGCCUCCUGCUCAAGAGUAAAGGACCGGUCUGAAACCUACAAGAACAGCCAUGUGACGGGAUCCGUGGUUUGGCAGAGGAGACAUGCGAGAAGACGGAACGUUUUGUCCGAAUAGACAUCUGGCAGGGUGGAACGGAGAGAACAGGUAUGGUGGAGAGAACGUCUGAGAAGGUCGCAGGAUUCGCAGGAGCAUCGGGAAAAGAUUGCCUGCUUGCCCGAAGGAAUGGCAAGUUCCAAAGCUGUGCUGUGGGCAGUGUUUAGUUCAUGUCUGCUUUGCUGGCGGGCCGAGUAGCAACAGCUGCAGUUGGUGUGUUCUCUGAAGGCAGUAUCCGAAGGCUGGAGGGGUUGCUUUUCUUCCCAGGUGUCUUUUGAAGAGGCAGUCAAGUCAGCAGCUCGCGGUGACCUUCUGGUAACAUCGUAUGGGCUGGGUUACAGCACAUGCCGACUGCUAAGCCGGUCACUGGGGAAAACCAUGUG
rnacentral:lncRNA from 1 species